UCCUCUGCUGCCAAGAAAAGCAUCGACGCGAGGUUUUAGUCGCCCGUACCCCAAACCGACACAGGUGAUCAGGUAGAGAAUACCAAGGAGAUCGAGAGAAUCGUGGUUAAGGAACUCGGCAAAAUGCCCCCGUAACUUCGGGAGAAGGGGGGCCUGAGGCGUAUAGGGAUUUACUCCUGAAAGCGCAUUGAUGGCCGCAGAGACCAGUGGGAAGCAACUGUUUAUCAAAAACACAGGUCCGUGCGAAGUCGCAAGACGAUGUAUACGGACUGACGCCUGCCCGGUGCUGGAAGGUUAAGAGGAAGGGUUAGCUUCGGCGAAGCUCUGAAUUUAAGCCCCAGUAAACGGCGGUGGUAACUAUAACCAUCCUAAGGUAGCGAAAUUCCUUGUCGGGUAAGUUCCGACCUGCACGAAUGGCGUAACGACUUCCCAGCUGUCUCAACCGCGAACUCGGCGAAAUUGCAUUACGAGUAAAGAUGCUCGUUACGCGCAGCAGGACGAAAAGACCCCGUGACCUUUACUACAGCUUGGUAUUGGUGUUCGGUGUGGCUUGUGUAGGAUAGGUGGGAGACUGUGAAGCGGGCACGCUAGUGUUCGUGGAGUCGUUGUUGAAAUACCACUCUGGUCAUUCUGGAUAUCUAACUUCGAACCGUAAUCCGGUUCAGGGACAGUGCCUGGUGGGUAGUUUAACUGGGGCGGUUGCCUCCUAAAGAGUAACGGAGGCGCCCAAAGGUUCCCUCAACCUGGUUGGCAAUCAGGUGGCGAGUGUAAGUGCACAAGGGAGCUUGACUGUGAGACUGACAAGUCGAGCAGGGACGAAAGUCGGGACUAGUGAUCCGGCAGUGGCUUGUGGAAGCGCUGUCGCUCAACGGAUAAAAGGUACCUCGGGGAUAACAGGCUGAUCUUGCCCAAGAGUCCAUAUCGACGGCAUGGUUUGGCACCUCGAUGUCGGCUCGUCGCAUCCUGGGGCUGGAGUAGGUCCCAAGGGUUGGGCUGUUCGCCCAUUAAAGCGGCACGCGAGCUGGGUUCGGAACGUCGUGAGACAGUUCGGUCUCUAUCCGCUGCGCGCGCAGGAAAUUUGAGAAGAUCUAUCUUUAGUACGAGAGGACCGAGAUGGACGAACCUCUGGUGUGUCAGUUGUUCCGCCAGGAGCACCGCUGAUUGGCUACGUUCGGAACGGAUAACCGCUGAAAGCAUCUAAGCGGGAAGCCGGCUUCAAGAUGAGAUUUCCAUCCCUUCGGGGGAGAAGCUCCCAGUAGACGACUGGGUUGAUAGGCCGGAUGUGGAAGCACAGAAAUGUGUGGAGCUGACCGGUACUAAUAAGCUGAUGAUUUAAAGA
rnacentral:rRNA from 1 species